GAUGAACGCUGGCGGCGUGCCUAAUACAUGCAAGUCGAGCGAACAGACGAGGAGCUUGCUCCUCUGACGUUAGCGGCGGACGGGUGAGUAACACGUGGAUAACCUACCUAUAAGACUGGGAUAACUUCGGGAAACCGGUGCUAAUACCGGAUAAUAUAUUGAACCACAUGGUUCAAUAGUGAAAGACGGUAUUGCAGUACCCUAUAGAUGGAUCCGCGUCGCAUUAGCUAGUUGGUAAGGAAACGGCUUACCAAGGCAACGAUGCUUAGCCGACCUGAGAGGGUGAUCGGCCACACUGGAACUGAGAAACGGUCCAGACUCCUACGGGAGGCAGCAGUAGGGAAUCUUCCGCAAUGGGCGAAGGCCGGACGGGGCAACGCCGCGUGAGUGAUGAAGGUCUUCGGAUCGUAAAACUCUGCUAUUAGGGAAGAACAAAGGUGUAAGUAACUAUGCACGUCUUGACGGUACCUAAUCAGAAAGCCACGGCUAACUACGUG
rnacentral:rRNA from 1 species